rnacentral:rRNA from 1 species
GAUGAACGCUGGCGGCGUGCUUAACACAUGCAAGUCGAACGAAGCAUUUGCGACAGAUUUUUUCGGAAUGAAGUUGCUUAUGACUGAGUGGCGGACGGGUGAGUAACGCGUGGGUAACCUGCCUUGUACUGGGGGAUAGCAGCUGGAAACGGCUGGUAAUACCGCAUAAGCGCACAAUGUUGCAUGACAUGGUGUGAAAAACUCCGGUGGUAUAAGAUGGACCCGCGUCUGAUUAGCUAGUUGGUGAGAUAACAGCCCACCAAGGCGACGAUCAGUAGCCGACCGGAGAGGGGGACCGGCCACAUUGGGACUGAGACACGGCCCAGACUCCUACGGGAGGCAGCAGUGGGGAAUAUUGCACAAUGGAGGAAACUCUGAUGCAGCGACGCCGCGUGAGUGAAGAAGUAAUUCGUUAUGUAAAGCUCUAUCAGCAGGGAAGAUAGUGACGGUACCUGACUAAGAAGCUCCGGCUAAAUACGUG